rnacentral:rRNA from 1 species
AUGAACGCUGGCGGCGUGCCUAAUACAUGCAAGUCGAGCGAACAGAUGAGGAGCUUGCUCCUCUGACGUUAGCGGCGGACGGGUGAGUAACACGUGGAUAACCUACCUAUAAGACUGGGAUAACUUCGGGAAACCGGAGCUAAUACCGGAUAAUAUAUUGAACCGCAUGGUUCAAUAGUGAAAGACGGUUUUGCUGUCACUUAUAGAUGGAUCCGCGCCGCAUUAGCUAGUUGGUAAGGUAACGGCUUACCAAGGCAACGAUGCGUAGCCGACCUGAGAGGGUGAUCGGCCACACUGGAACUGAGACACGGUCCAGACUCCUACGGGAGGCAGCAGUAGGGAAUCUUCCGCAAUGGGCGAAAGCCUGACGGAGCAACGCCGCGUGAGUGAUGAAGGUCUUCGGAUCGUAAAACUAUGUUAUUAGGGAAGAACAAAUGUGUAAGUAACUAUGCACGUCUUGACGGUACCUAAUCAGAAAGCCACGGCUAACUACGUG